GGCUUACCAUGCNAGUCGAGGGGCAGCAUUUCAGUUUGCUUGCAAACUGGAGAUGGCGACCGGCGCACGGGUGAGUAACACGUAUCCAACCUGCCGAUAACUCGGGGAUAGCCUUUCGAAAGAAAGAUUAAUACCCGAUGGNAUAAUCAGACCGCAUGGUCUNAUUAUUAAAGAAUUUCGGUUAUCGAUGGGGAUGCGUUCCAUUAGGCAGUUGGUGAGGUAACGGCUCACCAAACCUUCGAUGGAUAGGGGUUCUGAGAGGAAGGUCCCCCACAUUGGAACUGAGACACGGUCCAAACUCCUACGGGAGGCAGCAGUGAGGAAUAUUGGUCAAUGGGCGCAGGCCUGAACCAGCCAAGUAGCGUGAAGGAUGACUGCCCUAUGGGUUGUAAACUUCUUUUAUAUGGGAAUAAAGUUUUCCACGUGUGGAAUUUUGUAUGUACCAUAUGAAUAAGGAUCGGCUAACUCCGUGCCAGCAGCCGCGGUAAUACGGAGGAUCCGAGCGUUAUCCGGAUUUAUUGGGUUUAAAGGGAGCGUAGGUGGACAGUUAAGUCAGUUGUGAAAGUUUGCGGCUCAACCGUAAAAUUGCAGUUGAUACUGGCUGUCUUGAGUACAGUAGAGGUGGGCGGAAUUCGUGGUGUAGCGGUGAAAUGCUUAGAUAUCACGAAGAACUCCGAUUGCGAAGGCAGCUCACUGGACUGCAACUGACACUGAUGCUCGAAAGUGUGGGUAUCAAACAGGAUUAGAUACCCUGGUAGUCCACACAGUAAACGAUGAAUACUCGCUGUUUGCGAUAUACAGUAAGCGGCCAAGCGAAAGCAUUAAGUAUUCCACCUGGGGGAGUACGCCGGCAACGGUGAAACUCAAAGGAAUUGACGGGGGCCCGCACAACCGAAGGAACAUGUGGUUUAAUUCGAUGAAACGCGAGGAACCUUACCCGGGCUUAAAUUGCAUUUGAAUANUNUGGAAACAGNUUAGCCGCAAGGCAAAUGUGAAGGUGCUGCAUGGUUGUCGUCAGCUCGUGCCGUGAGGUGUCGGCUUAAGUGCCAUAACGAGCGCAACCCUUAUCUUUAGUUACUAACAGGUCAUGCUGAGGACUCUAGAGAGACUGCCGUCGUAAGAUGUGAGGAAGGUGGGGAUGACGUCAAAUCAGCACGGCCCUUACGUCCGGGGCUACACACGUGUUACAAUGGGGGGUACAGAAGGCAGCUACCUGGUGACAGGAUGCUAAUCCCAAAAGCCUCUCUCAGUUCGGAUCGAAGUCUGCAACCCGACUUCGUGAAGCUGGAUUCGCUAGUAAUCGCGCAUCAGCCAUGGCGCGGUGAAUACGUUCCCGGGCCUUGUACACACCGCCCGUCAAGCCAUGAAAGCCGGGGGUACCUGAAGUACGAACCGCAAGGAGCUCCUAG
rnacentral:rRNA from 1 species